GCUGUUGAGACUCCAGGGGUGUUCGGGGCUGGGAGCCUGCUGAGUGUUCCCUGUUCCCACCUCCAAUCUGCUCCAUCCUCCAGCUGCAUUUCAUUCCGGAUCUACCAGCAGGAUCCAACUUUACUACUGUCAUGGAGGGAAUUACAGUAAUUCUACCAACUUUUGAGGCAACCUUCUUCUGACACUGUGUGAAACAGACUGAAAAGACUCUAAAGAUGGAGAGAGCUCAAUGCUUGAGAAAAGGAAUUCUGUCCUUUGAAAGGUCUCUAGAACAAAGGAGUCUUAUUCUGUCACCUAGGCUGGAGUACAGUGGUGCAAUCACAGCUCACUGCAGCCUCGAUCUCCUGGACUCAACUAAUCCUCCUGCCUCAGCCUUCUGGGUAGUUGAGACUACAGAUACAGAAGAUGAGAGAGAGAAAAAGAGAGAAAUUACAGAGUGACGGAGAAGGCAGACAUCAUGCAACAUGCUCAAGGGCUAUUCAUUUUAAGCUGAAACAUACAUGUGUAGAAAGCAUCCUUGUACUUAUAAUCCCAAUGACUAUGAAGAAAAAUAAUUUAGCCAAAUAGUUCCUAGAACAGGAAAAAUAAGGAAUUAUAUUUUGAGAUAAGAAGUUAAGCUCUAGUAUAACAAUGAUAUGGGUCAAAGAAAAAUGAAAACAAAUUUUAAAAACGUUGCAACAUGAAUAAAAGUUUCACCAAAUCGGGAGUCUAUUAUAA
rnacentral:lncRNA from 1 species